rnacentral:misc_RNA from 1 species
GAAAUGCGAUAAGUAAUGUGAAUUGCAGAAUUCAGUGAAUCAUCGAAUCUUUGAACGCACAUUGCGCCCGCCAGUAUUCUGGCGGGCAUGCCUGUCCGAGCGUCAUUUCAACCAUCAAGCCCCCGGGCUUGUGUUGGGGACCUGCGGCUGCACGCAGGCCCUGAAAACCAGUGGCGGGCUCGCUGUCACACCGAGCGUAGUAGCAAUCACCUCGCUCAGGGCGUGCUGCGGGUUCCGGCCGUUAAACAGCCUUACAAAACCCAAGGUUGACCUCGGAUCAGGUAGGAAGACCCGCUGAACUUAAGC